AACGGAGGGUGCAAGCGUUGUUCGGAAUUACUGGGCGUAAAGCGCGUGCAGGUGGUCUUUUAAGUUUCGUGUGAAAGCCCUCGGCUUAACCGAGGAACGGCACGGAAAACUGGAAGACCUGAAUACGGGAGAAGAGGGCGGAAUUCCCAGUGUAGAGGUGAAAUUCGUAGAUAUUGGGAGGAACACCGGUGGCGAAAGCGGCUCUCUAGACCGAUAUUGACGCUCAGACGCGAGAGCGUGGGUAGCAAACAGG
rnacentral:rRNA from 1 species